rnacentral:rRNA from 1 species
UACAGAGGUCUCAAGCGUUGUUCGGAUUCAUUGGGCGUAAAGGGUGCGUAGGCGGCGCGGUAAGUCGGGUGUGAAAUCUCGGAGCUUAACUCCGAAACUGCAUUCGAUACUGCCGUGCUUGAGGACUGGAGAGGAGACUGGAAUUUACGGUGUAGCGGUGAAAUGCGUAGAUAUCGUAAGGAAGACCAGUGGCGAAGGCGGGUCUCGUGGACAGUUCCUGAC